rnacentral:lncRNA from 1 species
GCCGCCCGCCCGGGGCCGCCCGAGCUCCGCGGGGCCGGGGCGGGGCGGGGAGGGAAUGGGAGGGAGCAACGCCGCACUCCGACGCGGCUCUCUCGCCUCGUGUGUGUUAUGUUACUUCGUGCGCCUGGCCGGGGGCGGGGGGCAGCCGCUUCCGACGCUGGAGGUUGACCUUCUCGCCGUUCUCUCCGCUCCCGGCCCGCAGCUGGUGCUGUCAGUCCGCGUCCCCCAGAGGUGGCAGCGGCGGCUGUCGCGUUUCCCGAGGAGAUCGCGUGUUGCUUCCCCGGGAGUGCGUCUCGCCCUUCUCACCUCCGUUCACGCUCGGAUUUCAGAUGCAUGCCAGGUUCCUGCUGAAUGCC